rnacentral:rRNA from 1 species
UUGGAGGGCAAGUCUGGUGCCAGCAGCCGCGGUAAUUCCAGCUCCAAUAGCGUAUAUUAAAGUUGUUGCAGUUAAAAAGCUCGUAGUUGAAUUUCGGGGUCAGUAGGUUGGUCAUGCCACUGGUAUGUACUGGUCUCACUGAUUCCUCCUUCCUGAUGAACUGUAAUGCCAUUAAUUUGGUGUUGCAGGGAAUCUGGACUGUUACUUUGAAAAAAUUAGAGUGUCUAAAGCAGGCUAACGCCUAAAUACAUUAGCAUGGAAUAAUGAAAUAGGACGUUCGAUCCUAUUUUGUUGGUUUCUAGGAUUGACGUAAUGAUUAAUAGGGAUAGUUGGGGGCAUUAGUAUUCAAUUGUCAGAGGUGAAAUUCUUGGAUUUAUUGAAGACUAACUACUGCGAAAGCAUUUGCCAAGGAUGUUUUCAUUAAUCAAGAACGAAAGUUAGGGGAUCGAAGACGAUCAGAUACCGUCGUAGUCUUAACCAUAAACUAUGCCGACUAGGGAUCGGAUGAUGUUAAUUUUUUAAUGACUCAUUCGGCGCCUUACGGGAAACCAAAGUGUUUGGGUU